CCCUUCCGCACUCUAGCCUUGCAGUAUCAGCUGCUGUUCUUCCGUUAAGCAGAAGGCUUUCACAACUGACUUACAAGGCCGCCUACGUGCUCUUUACGCCCAAUAAUUCCGAGCAACGCUUGCCGCCUCUGUAUUACCGCGGCUGCUGGCACAGAGUUAGCCGUGGCUUCCUCCGGAGCCUUAGUCAAGUAAGGAUACUAUUAACACCCUUA
rnacentral:rRNA from 1 species